rnacentral:rRNA from 1 species
GAUGAACGCUGGCGGCGUGCCUAAUACAUGCAAGUCGAGCGAACGGACGAGAAGCUUGCUUCUCUGAUGUUAGCGGCGGACGGGUGAGUAACACGUGGAUAACCUACCUAUAAGACUGGGAUAACUUCGGGAAACCGGAGCUAAUACCGGAUAAUAUUUUGAACCGCAUGGUUCAAAAGUGAAAGACGGUCUUGCUGUCACUUAUAGAUGGAUCCGCGCUGCAUUAGCUAGUUGGUAAGGUAACGGCUUACCAAGGCAACGAUGCAUAGCCGACCUGAGGGGGUGAUCGGCCACACUGGAACUGAGACACGGUCCAGACUCCUACGGGAGGCAGCAGUAGGGAAUCUUCCGCAAUGGGCGAAAGCCUGACGGAGCAACGCCGCGUGAGUGAUGAAGGUCUUCGGAUCGUAAAACUCUGUUAUUAGGGAAGAACAUAUGUGUAAGUAACUGUGCACAUCUUGACGGUACCUAAUCAGAAAACCACGGCUAACUACGUG